rnacentral:piRNA from 1 species
UCAAAAAUUUCCAAUUUCCAG